rnacentral:rRNA from 1 species
UGGGGAAUUUUGGACAAUGGGCGCAAGCCUGAUCCAGCAAUGCCGCGUGCAGGAUGAAGGCCUUCGGGUUGUAAACUGCUUUUGUACGGAGCGAAAAGGUCUGCCCUAAUACGGUGGGCUCAUGACGGUACCGUAAGAAUAAGCACCGGCUAACUACGUUCCAGCAGCCGCGGUAAUACGUAGGGUGCGAGCGUUAAUCGGAAUUACUGGGCGUAAAGCGUGCGCAGGCGGUUAUAUAAGACAGGUGUGAAAUCCCCGGGCUCAACCUGGGACCUGCAUUUGUGACUGUAUAGCUAGAGUACGGUAGAGGGGGAUGGAAUUCCGCGUGUAGCAGUGAAAUGCGUAGAUAUGCGGAGGAACACCGAUGGCGAAGGCAAUCCCCUGGACCUGUACUGACGCUCAUGCACGAAAGCGUGGGGAGCAAACA